UGCAAAAGACAUUUUCUCCAAAUUUUAUUCAUAUUCUCUUCACAAAUGUUUGUACAAAUAUUCUUACAAAUGAAAGUAUCAAACUUCUUGAUUAUUUUCCCUCCAUCAAGGGUUAACAAUGCUUGCUAUUCAACAGUUUUACUGUGACAUGACAGGCCGUUAUUGGCCUUCAAUUUCUCAAACAUGAACCAAAUCCUUUGAGGGACAUUAACAAAACUAUCACAGGUAAAACAAUUAGGUUUCCUUUGCAUAAUUUGUAUUAUUUAGUGAUCUUUAAGGGGAUGUCUUGUCUAAUACACAUAAGCAUUAAAAUGACAUAAACAUGGUAGAGGAUACAAAAUAAAUCCAUCAAAAGAUAUCAAGUUUGGAAAUAUUACUUUAACGACAGCAACUGCAAGCUGCUAUCCCAAAGGCAAACAUUUACACUAACAUCUGCAUAAACCGAUCUUCUGAGUUGAAUAAUCGGCUAAAAUCCCAAAGCAAUUUUUCAAAGACCAGAUUACGGGAACAAAAUUUUUCUCAGUUGAGUAGAAUUCUGUGGUCCCAAGAGAUAAAACUUUUUGCAGAUUUACCCUUUUUAUAAAUUCCAUAAACUCAUAUAUCUUAGAAUCAAAUUCUAAAUCAAUUUACUUGUGCAUAUAAUAUGUAUUCAAUGGUGUAGUAACAUUUCUCCUACGGUUGCCGUACGGCAAGUCGAAAACAUUCAAACCACCUAUACGUAGCUGUACAAAAAUGUUUUAAAACGGCCGUUUUCCACUUGCCAUACGGCCACCUAGGGGAACUGUGACUGCGCCAUGAACACACGGUAUCAUAACACACUUUCCUGCAUACAAAAUCAUCAUAAAUGAUUUUUCAAAAAUGACAAUUUAUGGAUUCUAUAGUUCAUGACAUAUGGAAAGCAGCUCGCAAGUCAUACAAAUAUCAAAACUUUUUUAUACUUUGAUGCAUUUUUUGUCAAACUUUCAUGGAUAUGUAUUUUUCAUUUUGCUGCUUUUAUCAAAACCAAAUUGAAUUUGGGAUGGAUCCCCUUUGAACGUACACAGAAGAUUUUCAAUCUUACAUCACAUUAUUCUUGUGUUCAUGGCGAGAUGUCAUGGAUCACUUAAUAUAAUUUCUACAUUGAAUAGCCACUGAAACAAGUAACCAAACUAUCACAUUUAAAACUUACAUCUUAUAUCUAGGAGUUUAUGUCAGUAUUAAAGUAUGUUAUAUCAUUUUAUCUACUUAAAGCAACACAAGGAAUAUUUUUCACACAGGGGACCACACUUUUUCUUCAGUAAAUGUGUUUUAAAAAAAUAUGAAAAUGACCAUCAAAUUGUGAUUUGAUACGUGUUCAGCCCCCCCCCCAUACUUUGCAAAUUAUUCUGACAUCCCUGACACACACAGGGACCCGUCGCAGCUUGCAACAAAAUGCAAGGGAAGAAGGUCAAAUUCCAAUAUUGUGAAUUUGGCGAUUUCAUGUAUUGUCUCAAAAUUAGUUUAAGAUUGUAUUGAUUGAGACAGUCUACAUAAUAGCUUUAAUCCACUCUACUUUCACUGUCUAUUUUCCUAUUAAGCGCAUAGAGAACCUAAUGGGCAGUGAUAUGCGCUAUGCAAGCACUGUUGUACUAUUAUUGGAGAUUUGGGGUAUUAAGAUUGUAGGUAGAAUCAGAGUUCAACUUAUACCACUAAAGUCACAUGUAGUAAAUCUUACAAAGAGGUCCUUGGUGCCAUGGUAGGAUUAAACAUAAACCAAGGUUGAUAGUCUGGACCACUAAACCAAAUCCCAUUAGGCGGUGCUGCACAAGCCAGUUUGCUCCAUCUUGAGAUUUUAGCCGAUUGGCCCUCCCCGCGAUUAAUCUCGAGAUUCAAGAAACCCCGUCUCCACCAUUGCACGAAGAGCGAUUCCUUCUCGAGCAAGGCAUCGAUGUAUUAUAGUCUGACGCCGUGAAUAAAUAAUCCCGAGUGCGUCUGCACCUGCGAAUUAGUGGGAUAAUUCGUAAAAUAGCGCGCUAUUUUCCAAAUAAUCCCAAGUUGACUUGGGAUUGCAAUAUCGAGAUUAAUCCUAUGAACUAGUGCGAUAAUUGUGUUUCCAUUACAAAUAAUCUUGAGAUUGUUCAGAUCUUGAUAAUUUGCCGGAUCAGAAAUAGCACGCUAAUUUCAAAACUCCGGCUGGUGCAGACGGCCCUAUUGGCAUCAACAAGAGGGAGCAGUCAGUGUCAUGUUUGUAAGUUACACAAAACUUUCACAAGUACAAUGACCUUAAUGGUGUUUCACAAAUCUGUUAGUAAAGUUACAAAUGACUUCAUGCACGACUCGCAUUAUGUUUUUAUGAGCCAAAUCAGCUACGUGAGGAUACAUUUUCUUGUAAAUCAUUCAGCAAACGAACUCAUCACCUGGGUCCCGUUGCAGAAAGAGUUGCGUAUAUAUGCAAAUAAAAAAAAAAUCUAUGCAUGCUUCAUUGGUUGAAGAAAAUUUGUUUGAUUUCUUGGGGUUGCGUUUGAUCGCAUUUCUCUCUGCAACACGCCCAGUUCUACCUAAAGUGUGGAGUUCAUGAAUAGCUUUAUGAAU